rnacentral:rRNA from 1 species
GACGAACGCUGGCGGCGUGCCUAACACAUGCAAGUCGAACGGAGAUACGAUUUCGGUUGUAUCUUAGUGGCGAACGGGUGCGUAACGCGUGAGCAACCUGACUCUUAGAGGGGGAUAACACUGGGAAACGAGUGCUAAUACCGCAUAAGACCACGACAUGGCAUCAUGACGAGGUCAAAGGAGCAAUCCGCUGAGAGAGGGGCUCGCGUCCCAUUAGAUAGAUGGCGGGGUAACGGCCCACCAUGUCAACGAUGGGUAGCCGAGCUGAGAGGCUGAUCGGCCACACUGGAACUGAGACACGGUCCAGACUCCUACGGGAGGCAGCAGUGGGGAAUAUUGGACAAUGGGCGCAAGCCUGAUCCAGCCAUGCCGCGUGAGUGAUGAAGGCCUUAGGGUUGUAAAGCUCUUUCAGUAGGGAAGAUAAUGACGGUACCUACAGAAGAAGCCCCGGCUAACCUCGUGCCAGCCGCCGCGGUAA